CGCCCCGCCUCGCCUCGCCUCGCCUCGCCUCGCGCACACCUCCUUUCCCAGCCCUACCCGGCGUACGCCGUACACUGGGUUCCUGCAAGUAGUAGGCCCCGCCUCACGUCGUGUAUGCUCCGCCCACUCCAUAGCUCUGUCUCUCCCCCUCUGUGGCUACGAGCUGGCUGGGCGUAGCGAGUUCUGGAGCUGAUCUUCUAAGUGACUUGAGCGUCCCGCCACCGCGUGCGUCUCUCACGGACAGCUGGGUUUGCACGGGCUGGCGACGUCCUCAUUAUGGCGACCUUUGCCCUGCCCCGCUGCCCUGGGACUUCCAUCCCUGCCCUUGCUAGGAGCCACCCACGGAGAGGGCGACCCUUCCCUACCCGCCCCCAACCUGGCCUCCUGCUCCGCCUGUGUCCCUCGGGACGGCCACCCCUUUCGAGCCCGCACCUCCUGGAGGGUAAAUCAAGCCCCGACCUCAGACCCCUGAGCCUUUCGAGACUGACCCGGACCUUGCCCUCGGGUGCCCUCUGCCGUCACCCCUCCUCCAGGGCCUGGAUCGGGACAGCGCUGGCGGCCGAGAUUUUGGAUCCAGGCCUGUGUUCCACUGGGGAUUUGGUGGUUCCUGUUAGAACAAUUGGAGAAUGUCAGGAAUAAAGGGUGGUACCAGAUGCCUUUCCAUUCAUCACCUUG
rnacentral:lncRNA from 1 species